rnacentral:rRNA from 1 species
UACGGAGGAUUCAAGCGUUAUCCGGAUUUAUUGGGUUUAAAGGGUGCGUAGGCGGAACAUUAAGUCAGCGGUAAAAUCGAGGGGCUCAACCCCUUUAAGCCGUUGAAACUGGCGUUCUUGAGUGGGCGAGAAGUAUGCGGAAUGCGUGGUGUAGCGGUGAAAUGCAUAGAUAUCACGCAGAACGCCGAUUGCGAAGGCAGCUUACCGGCGCUCAACUGACGCUGAGGCACGAAAGUGCGGGUAUCGAACAGG